rnacentral:rRNA from 1 species
GACGAACGCUGGCGGCGUGCUUAACACAUGCAAGUCGAACGGAAAGGCCCUGCUUUUGUGGGGUGCUCGAGUGGCGAACGGGUGAGUAACACGUGAGUAACCUGCCCUUGACUUUGGGAUAACUUCAGGAAACUGGGGCUAAUACCGGAUAGGAGCUCCUGCUGCAUGGUGGGGGUUGGAAAGUUUCGGCGGUUGGGGAUGGACUCGCGGCUUAUCAGCUUGUUUGUGGGGUAGUGGCUUACCAAGGCUCUGACGGGUAGCCGGCCUGAGAGGGUGACCGGCCACAUUGGGACUGAGAUACGGCCCAGACUCCUACGGGAGGCAGCAGUGGGGAAUAUUGCACAAUGGGCGGAAGCCUGAUGCAGCAACGCCGCGUGCGGGAUGACGGCCUUCGGGUUGUAAACCGCUUUCGCCUGUGACGAAGCGUGAGUGACGGUAAUGGGUAAAGAAGCACCGGCUAACUACGUG